AGCCCGUGAUGAAUUAAUUUCUGACACCUCGUAUGAAAACUGCAUGCGUAGUCUGAUUACAUUAUAAGACUGAGGCUU
rnacentral:snoRNA from 7 species